GACGAACGCUGGCGGCGUGCUUAACACAUGCAAGUCGAACGGAAAGGCCCUGCUUUUGUGGGGUGCUCGAGUGGCGAACGGAUGAGUAACACGCGAGUAACCUGCCCUCGACUUUGGGAUAACUUCAGGAAACUGGGGCUAAUACCGGAUAGGAGCUCCUGCUGCAUGGUGGGGGUUGGAAAGUUUCGGCGGUUGGGGAUGGACUCGCGGCUUAUCAGCUUGUUGGUGGGGUAGUGGCUUACCAAGGCUUUGACGGGUAGCCGGCCUGAGAGGGUGACCGGCCACAUUGGGACUGAGAUACGGCCCAGACUCCUACGGGAGGCAGCAGUGGGGAAUAUUGCACAAUGGGCGGAAGCCUGAUGCAGCAACGCCGCGUGCGGGAUGACGGCCUUCGGGUUGUAAACCGCUUUCGCCUGUGACGAAGCGUGAGUGACGGUAAUGGGUAAAGAAGCACCGGCUAACUACGUG
rnacentral:rRNA from 1 species